CCUACGGGACGCAGCAGUAGGGAAUCUUCGGCAAUGGACGAAAGUCUGACCGAGCAACGCCGCGUGAGUGAAGAAGGUUUUCGGAUCGUAAAACUCUGUUGUUAGAGAAGAACAAGUAGGAGAGUAACUGCUCUUACCUUGACGGUAUCUAACCAGAAAGCCACGGCUAACUACGUGCCAGCAGCCGCGGUAAUACGUAGGUGGCAAGCGUUGUCCGGAUUUAUUGGGCGUAGAGCGAGCGCAGGCGGUCUUUUAAGUCUGAUGUGAAAGCCCACGGCUUAGCCGUGGAGGGUCAUUGGAAACUGGAGGACUCGAUUGCAGAAGAGGAGAGUGGAAUUCCAUGUGUAGCGGUGAAAUGCGUAGAGAUAUGGAGGAACACCAGUGGCGAAGGCGACUCUCUGGUCUGUAACUGACGCUGAGGAGCGAAAGCGUGGGUAACGAACAGGAUUAGAUACCCGUGUAGUC
rnacentral:rRNA from 1 species